rnacentral:lncRNA from 10 species
UCCCGGAACACCGCUCCUGGAGCGAUUGUUUCAAUGUUGCUUGCUCGGAAUGGCCCUCCUGAGCAAACAACAGACGGUGCUCAAAGUAACAACUGGACUUAAUAAAAGGAGCUUACACGAAGGAGGAGCUGAAGGCUGCUGUGGUCGUGUGCUGGGGGCUGCCCCAGCUCCAGCUGCAGGACCCCGGCCGUCUGCCUUCCGACUCCGGUGAUGAUUCUUCCUGCGGUCUGAUCAAGAUUCUAUGCAGUUAACUUUGUAUCCAAGGAUCUAUAGCCAAGAAAUUUGGAGCUCAGUUUCAAACUUGCUUUUGGCAUCUUCUUCAUGACGUCUUCA